rnacentral:miRNA from 1 species
GACACGAGAUCUGGACGACGAGGUCCUCGGCGUUGGCGGCCACCGGGAACGCCAGCCCGUCGCCCGCGCACGACAGGCACUCAAUGUCAAAGCACAGCAGCUUGUAGUC